GCCAUCAUGGCCUAGUGGUUAGAGUGUCGGACUGCGACUCUGGAAACCAGGGUUCUAAUCCUCGCUUGGCC